CGAGCUGGCCAAGCGGUCGCGGCUUCGGAGACAGGCGGGCAGGUCGCGCCGGGUCCGAGGUCGAGGAAAGUCCGGACUCCACAGAGCAGGGUGGUUGCUAACGGCAACCCGAGGCGACUCGCGGGAAAGUGCCACAGAGAACAGACUGCCGGCGCGUGGCUCGCCACGGAGCCGGUGAGGGUGAAACGGUGCGGUAAGAGCGCACCAGCGCCCCGGGUGACCGGGGCGGCUCGGUAAACCCCACCUGGAGCAAGGUCAAAUGCCCGCACCCUCGCGGUGCGGGUGCGCAGGCGCUCGAGGGCUGCUCGCCCGAGCUUGCGGGUAGACCGCAUUCAGGCGUCCGGCGACGGGCGUCGCAGAUGGAUGGCCGCUCACGACAGAAUCCGGCUUAUCGGCCAGCUCGCCGC
rnacentral:RNase_P_RNA from 2 species